AGAUUAAGUUAUUAAGAGCGCACGGUGGAUGCCUUGGCACUAGAAGCCGAUGAAGGACGUUACUAACAACGAUAUGCUUUGGGGAGCUGUAAGUAAGCUUUGAUCCAGAGAUUUCCGAAUGGGGAAACCCAGCAUGAGUUAUGUCAUGUUAUCGAUAUGUGAAUACAUAGCAUAUCAGAAGGCACACCCGGAGAACUGAAACAUCUUAGUACCCGGAGGAAGAGAAAGAAAAUUCGAUUCCCUUAGUAGCGGCGAGCGAAACGGGAAGAGCCCAAACCAACAAGCUUGCUUGUUGGGGUUGUAGGACACUCUAUACGG
rnacentral:rRNA from 1 species